rnacentral:rRNA from 1 species
CCUACGGGGGGCAGCAGUGGGGAAUAUUGGACAAUGGGGGGAACCCUGAUCCAGCCAUGCCGCGUGUGUGAAGAAGGCCCUCGGGUUGUAAAGCACUUUCAGUGAGGAAGAACGCCUGGUGGUUAAUACCCAUCAGGAAAGACAUCACUCACAGAAGAAGCACCGGCUAACUCCGUGCCAGCAGCCGCGGUAAUACGGAGGGUGCGAGCGUUAAUCGGAAUUACUGGGCGUAAAGCGCGCGUAGGUGGCUUGAUAAGCCGGUUGUGAAAGCCCCGGGCUCAACCUGGGAACGGCAUCCGGAACUGCAAAGCUAGGGUGCAGGAGAGGAAGGUAGAAUUGCCGGUGUAGCGGUGAAAUGCGUAGACAUCGGGAGGAAUACGAGUGGCGAAGGCGGCCUUCUGGACUGACACUGACACGGAGGUGCGACAGCGUGGGUAGCCAACAGGAUUAGAGACACCAGUAGUC